rnacentral:rRNA from 1 species
UACGGGGAGGGGAAGCGUUGUUCGGAAUUACUGGGCGUAAAGGGCUCGUAGGCGGCCAACUAAGUCAUACGUGAAAUCCCUCAGCUUAACUGGGGAACUGCGUGUGAUACUGGAUGGCUUGGAUUUGGGAGAGGGAUGCGGAAUUCCAGGUGUAGCGGUGAAAUGCGUAGAUAUCUGGAGGAACACCGGUGGCGAAGGCGGCAUCCUGGACCAAUAUUGACGCUGAGGAGCGAAAGCCAGGGGAGCAAACGGG